AUGGAGCCCCGGGCGCCGUGGGUGGAGCAGGAGAGGCCGGAGUAUUGGGACCCGCAGACGCUGGGCACCAAGGCCCACGGACAGACUCACCCAGGGAACCUGCGGACCCUGCUCCGCUACUACAACCAGAGCAAGGCCGGUGAGUGACCCCGGCCUGGGGCGCAGGUAACCACCCCUCCCCAGAGCAAGUGGGGUCAGAUCUCCCAGAGCAAGUGGGAGGUGGACAAAUACUCAGAGCACGUCAGGGCCUACCUGAAGGGCAGACCCCCCAAGACACAUGUGACCCACCACCCCAUCUGACCAUGAGGCCAUCCUGAGAUGCUGGGCCAUGGGCUUCUACACUGCAGAGAUCAUACUGACCUCGCAGUGGGAUGGAGAGGACCAGACCCAGGACACAGAGUUUGUGGAGACCAGGCCUGCAGGGGAUGGAACCUUCCAGAAGUGGGUGGCUGUGGUGGUGUCUUCUGGAGAAGAGCAGAGAUACACAUGCCAUGUGCAGCACGAGGGGCUGCUGAAGCCCCUCACCCUGAGAUGGGAGCCAUCUCCCCAGCCCACCAUACCCAUCAUGGGCAUCGCUGCCAGCCUGGCUGUCCUAGGAGCUGUGGUCACUGCUGUGAUCUGGCAGAAAAAGAGCUCCGGUAGAGAAGGAGGUGCUCAGGCUGUGUGCAGCGACAGUGCCCAGGGCUGUAAUGUCCUGAGACAGCUGUCUUGUGAGGGACUGAGAUGCAGGAUUUCUUCACGCCUCUCCUUUAUGACUUCAAGAGCCUCUGGCGUCUCUUUCUGCAAAGGCAUCUGAAUGUGUCUGCGUCCCUGUUAGCCUGA